rnacentral:rRNA from 1 species
UACGUAGGGGGCAAGCGUUGUCCGGAAUCAUUGGGCGUAAAGCGCGUGUAGGCGGCCAGAAAAGUCCGCUGUGAAAACUCGAGGCUCAACUUCGAGCUGUCGGUGGAAACUUUCUGGCUAGAGUCCGGAAGAGGAGAAUGGAAUUCCCGGUGUAGCGGUGAAAUGCGUAGAUAUCGAGAGGAACACCUGCGGCGAAGGCGGGUUGCUGGGCUGACACUGACGCUGAACUGCGAAAGCUAGGGGAGCGAACGGG